CUACGGGCUGCUCCAGUCGAGGAAAUUUUACAAUGCUCGAAAGAGUGAUAAAAUGAGUCAGAGUGUUUCUCUUAGAGAAACUUUUAUUUGCUGUAAAAAGGCAGAUGAAUAAGGACUGGGCAAAGACCGGUGCCAGCCGCCGCGGUAAUCCCGGCGGUCCAAGUCGCAUCCACAUUUAUUGGGUCUAAAACAUCCGUAGCUUGUUUUAUAAGUCUCUUGUGAAAUUUUAUAUCUCAAGUAUAAAACAUGCAAGAGAUACUAUCUAACUAGAGACCGGAAGACGCAAAGAGUAUGAUUGAGGUAACGGUAAAAUGUGUUAAUCCCAAUCAGACUAACAACAGCGAAGGCACUUUGCGAGUACGGAUCUGACAGUAAGGGAUGAAGGCUAGGGGCGCAAAAGGGAUUAGAUACCCCGGUAGUC
rnacentral:rRNA from 1 species